CCUACGGGUGGCAGCAGUGGGGAAUAUUGCGCAAUGGGCGAAAGCCUGACGCAGCGACGCCGCGUGAGGGAUGAAGGUCUUCGGAUCGUAAACCUCUGUCAGCAUGGAAGAACGGUCACUGUGCUAAUCAGCAGUGAAUUGACGGUACCUGCAAAGGACGCACCGGCUAACUCCGUGCCAGCCGCCGCGGUAAUGCUGCGGGUGCGAGCGUUACUCGGAAUUACUGGGGGUAAAGCGUUCGUAGGCGGUAUGUCAAGUCAAGGGUGAAAUCCCCGCGCUCAACGUGGGAACUGCCUUUGAAACUGGCAAACUGGAGUGUGUGAGAGGAUAGUGGAAUUCCAGGUGUAGGAGUGAAAUGCGUAGAUAUCGGGAGGAACAUCAGGGGCGAAGGCGACUAUCUGGCACAUAACUGACGCUGAGGAGCGAAAGCGUGGGUAGCAAACAGGAUUAGAUACCCGGGUAGUC
rnacentral:rRNA from 1 species